UACCAGCACCCCGAGUGGUCGGGACGUUUUAUUGGGCCUAAAGCAUCCGUAGCCGGUUCUACAAGUCUUCCGUUAAAUCCACCUGCUUAACAGAUGGGCUGCGGAAGAUACUAUAGAGCUAGGAGGCGGGAGAGGCAAGCGGUACUCGAUGGGUAGGGGUAAAAUCCGUUGAUCCAUUGAAGACCACCAGUGGCGAAGGCGACUUGCCAGAACGCGCUCGACGGUGAGGGAUGAAAGCUGGGGGAGCAAACCGG
rnacentral:rRNA from 1 species